AAGUCGUAACAAGGUUUCCGUAGGUGAACCUGCGGAAGGAUCAUUCACAAACGAGUGUUUUAUGGCACUCUUUAAAAAUCCAUAUCCACCUUGUGUGCAAUGUUUGUUGGGAAAGUCUUUUCUUUCCCUUCAUAAAUAUCAACCUAUAUCUUUAACAACAUUCGUCUGAUAACAUAUUAUGAAUAUACUUAAUUCAAAAUAUAACUUUCAACAACGGAUCUCUUGGCUCUCGCAUCGAUGAAGAACGCAGCGAAAUGCGAUACGUAAUGUGAAUUGCAGAAUUCAGUGAAUCAUCGAAUCUUUGAACGCAUAUUGCGCUCUUUGGUAUUCCGAAGAGCAUGCUUGUUUGAGUAUCAGUAAACACCUCAACCUCUCUUUUUGACAAAAAAAGGAGGGUGGACUUGAGCUAUCCCAACGACCUUCACCGGUAGGCGGGCGGCUUGAAAUGCAGGUGCAGCUGGACUUUUAUCUGAGCUAAAAGCAUAUCUAUUUAGUCCUCGUCAAACAGGAUUAUUACUUUUGCUGCAGCUAACAUAAAGGAUAAUUGUCCUCCUUGCUGACUGAUGCAGGAUUUUACGACACUUUAUGUGUUGUUCAACUCGAUCUCAAAUCAAGUAAGACUACCCGCUGAACUUAA
rnacentral:rRNA from 1 species